GACGAACGCUGGCGGCGUGCUUAACACAUGCAAGUCGAACGGAAAGGCCCUGCUUUUGCGGGGUGCUCGAGUGGCGAACGGGUGAGUAACACGUGAGUAACCUGCCCUUGACUUUGGGAUAACUUCAGGAAACUGGGGCUAAUACAGGAUAGGAGCUCCUGCUGCAUGGUGGGGGUUGGAAAGUUUCGGCGGUUGGGGAUGGACUCGCGGCUUAUCAGCUUGUUGGUGGGGUAGUGGCUUACCAAGGCUUUGACGGGUAGCCGGCCUGAGAGGGUGACCGGCCACAUUGGGACUGAGAUACGGCCCAGUCUGCUACGGGAGGCAGCAGUGGGGAAUAUGGCACAAUGGGCGGAAGCCUGAUGCAGCAACGCCGCGUGCGGGAUGACGGCCUUCGGGUUGUGAACCGCUUUCGCCUGUGACGAAGCGUGAGUGACGGUAAUGGGUAAAGAAGCACCGGCUAACUACGUG
rnacentral:rRNA from 1 species